GGCGAAACAAGUGCCCUGCUACCGCUGGGCUGUGGGCCGCCAGCACUUGGCUGCUGUAGUCUCUGGGGCAGUCCCUGGUGAGAAACAAGACGAAAUCUGAAGAAAUUUACCAAUAAUGUGGCUUCCUUGCCCACCGCCGUCUCUUCAACACCGCCUCUUUGAACUGAUGAUAAUAGAGAUAAGACGUGUUGUCGUGUUCCGCUGCUCACUUGACAUUCGACAUCCGUGCACUUUCAAAGACAAAUGACGAAGCAUAGUCACUGUAGACUGCAGACUUCAUGGUUGACGGAUGAGAUCUUUAUUGGAACAAGUGGAAGAUGAAAGAGUGGUACGUAAGGAUACUCGGACAAGCAUGACUGGUAACCCGGUGACUUGUUCACAUCAGUAAUCUUCGAUCGCCAGUAUCUAUUCAAAGUAUUCAGUAGUUACAUGCUGACCGCCUAAUAAACUUUGGACUUUGAUAUGCAGCCUGCUGUACCUGCU
rnacentral:sRNA from 1 species